CAACCUCAACUCAUAUGGGACUACCCCCUGAAUUUAAGCAUAUUAAUUAGGGGAGGAAAAGAAACUAACAAGGAUUUUCUUAGUAGCGGCGAGCGAAAAGAAAUCAGUUCAGCACUAAGUCACUUUGUCUAUAUGGCAAAUGUGAGAUGCAGUGUAUGGAGCGUCAAUAUUCUAGUAUGAGAAAUUAACGAUUUAAGUCCUUCUUAAAUGAGGCCAUUUACCCAUAGAGGGUGCCAGGCCCGUAUAACGUUAAUGAUUACUAGAUGAUGUUUCCAAAGAGUCGUGUUGCUUGAUAGUGCAGCACUAAGUGGGUGGUAAACUCCAUCUAAAACUAAAUAUAACCAUGAGACCGAUAGUAAACAAGUACCGUGAGGGAAAGUUGAAAAGAACUCUGAAUAGAGAGUUAAAUAGUACGUGAAACUGCUUAGAGGUUAAGCCCGAUGAACCUGAAUAUCCGUUAUGGAAAAUUCAUCAUUAAAGUUAUAAUAUUUAAACAAUAUUAUACAAAUAAUGUGCAUUUUUUCCAUAUAAGGACAUUGUAAUCUAUUAACAUAUUAAAUUUAUCAUAAAAUAUGGCUUAUAGUUUAUUCAAAUUAUUAUGCUUGCAUUUUAACAUAGAAUAAAUGUCAUUAAUUUGAUAAAGUGUUGAUAGACUAAUAAGAAUACAGUGCGUUAAUUUUUCGGAAUUAUAUAAUGGCAUAAUUAUCAUUGAUUUUUGUGUUUAUUAUAAGCACUUGUAUGAUUAACAAUGCGAAAGAUUCAGGAUACCUUCGGGACCCGUCUUGAAACACGGACCAAGGAGUCUAACAUAUGUGCAAGUUAUUGGGAUAUAAACCUAAUAGCGUAAUUAACUUGACUAAUAAUGGGAUUAGUUUUUUAACUAUUUUAUAGCUAAUUAACACAAUCCCGGGGCGUUCUAUAUAGUUAUGUAUAAUAAUAUUUAUAUUAUUUAUGCCUCUAACUGGAACGUACCUUGAGCAGAUAUGCUGUGACCCGAAAGAUGGUGAACUAUACUUGAUCAGGUUGAAGUCAGGGGAAACCCUGAUGGAAGACCGAAACAGUUCUGACGUGCAAAUCGAUUGUCAGAAUUGAGUAUAGGGGCGAAAGACCAAUCGAACCAUCUAGUAGCUGGUUCCUUCCGAAGUUUCCCUCAAGAUAGCUGGUGCAUUUUAAUGUUAUAUAAAAUAAUCUUAUCUGGUAAAGCGAAUGAUUAGAGGCCUUAGGGUCGAAACGAUCUUAACCUAUUCUCAAACUUUAAAUGGGUAAGAACCUUAACUUUCUUGAUAUGAAGUUUAAGGUUAUGAUAUAUUGUGCCCAGUGGGCCACUUUUGGUAAGCAGAACUGGCGCUGUGGGAUGAACCAAACGUAAUGUUACGGUGCCCAAAUUAACAACUCAUGCAGAAACCAUGAAAGGCGUUGGUUGCUUAAAACAGCAGGACGGUGAUCAUGGAAGUCGAAAUCCGCUUAGGAGUGUGUAACAUCUCACCUGCUCAAGCAACUAGCCCUUAAAAAGUUUGGCGCUUAUGUUGUUUUCUCUAUUACUUUCCGCCUAAAGUAAAAUGAUUUAUUUUACUUUGGAAUUAAUAUUUAUUCAAAACUUUUUUGGAUAAAUGAAUGAUUUAAAGGUUACUUCUAUGAAAUUUUUUAGUGUUUUUAAAUCUUUGUAUAGAGUAACUUUCUUUUUG
rnacentral:ncRNA from 1 species